rnacentral:rRNA from 1 species
GAUGAACGCUGGCGGCGUGCGUAACACAUGCAAGUUGAACGACGGUGCCAUGAAGUGGUAACACGGAGUGGUAUACGGAGUAGCGGACGGGUGAGUAAAGCAUGAGAAUCUGUCCUGUCGAGGGGGAUAACGUUCGGAAACGGACCCUAAUACCCCAUAGUCCGAGAGGUUAAAGGCAGCGAUGCGCGGCAGGAGGAGCUCGUGUCCUAUCAGCUAGUUGGUGAGGUAACGGCUCACCAAGGCUUCGACGGGUAGCCGGCCUGAGAGGGUGACCGGCCACACUGGAACUGAGAAACAGUCCAGACUCCUACGGGAGGCAGCAGUGGGGAAUAUUGGGCAAUGGGAGGAAUCCUGACCCAGCGACGCCGCGUGAACGAAGACGGCCUUCGGGUUGUAAAGUUCUUUUAUGUGGGAAGAAGGAAGUGACGGUACCACAUGAAUAAGCCCCGGCUAACUAC